GAUUGAAACCGGGUCGGACCCACGUGACCCACCAGCCGUGCGAGUUAGGGUGGGCUGGGUCCAACCCGGCUCACUGGCCACCUCUAUGUGAAAUGUAUCAUGAGAAAGAGUUUUUUAAAAGUUGGGAAAAGCUGAAGUUGAGGGUUUCCAGCUUUCAGAUAUUGAAUUAUAGUCUUCAAACAUCUUUAGUUUGCUUGAGUUGAUUGGAGUUUGGAUUGCUCAAGUUAGACUGUCAGAGUAUAUGUCAUGGUGUUGUUUGAUAUUGCCCAUAUAUUUAAGGAGAUCCUUGAAUCAAAAGCAUAAACUUUAGGUUUCUGUGAGACUCCCCCCCACCCCCCCCCCCCCACACACACACACCCCACUUUUUUUAUCCCAUUCCCACCAGCUUAUUCCAAUCAACUGUACUGAACUUAAUUUAAUCUUUUAUCUUGCUUCAGGGUACCAAAAUGUUAAUUGUUAUCGUCCUUCGAAAGUAAUAUUUGGGCUCUGACUUUUUAUAACAAUCACAUUGCUGAUAGUCUUCUGCUCUCUGUAUAAUCUCUAAGAAUUCAUCCAUGACUGCAAUGUAACAGUACCAAUUGCUACAAGAUCCUUACUCUCCUCUCGUCAUUGCAUUUUAGAUAUUCAGCAUUUUAGAUAUUGAGCAUGAGUGAUAUUAUAUAUUUUUUCUCCUUAUCUACAUAAUCCCUGAUUGUCGGCAGCAUGUUUUUUCUAUCCGAAUGGCAGAAAUAAAGACCGGAAUUAUGGACUAAUAGAGGAACUUCUGUCUGAUAAGAAUCCUGCAUUAUACAAAAAAAAUCACUCAUGCUGAAUAUCUCAAGCAUCAUAGUGUACAUGGAAGUCGCUGCUCCAAAGAUCUUCCUCAUAUCAAGCUUUAAUCUAUUUCGAUCAGUACUAACCAUAUGUAACUACUGGUAUAAUCAUGCAACUAUGACAAGAUCUUUUCCUCAUUAUAAGAGUAAAAUUUCUCAUUAAACCCCCAUAAUUUGACUCUAUGACUCACCAAUCAGUUAAACCACAAACCAACAGUAUUAACAACAAAUCUUGCAUAAAAAUGCAAGUGAAACACUUGCAAAAAGUGCACAUAAAUUUUUAAAUAUGUGGUUGUUAUAAAGGGAGAUUUAUUCUUUAAAAAAAUCUGUUAUUAUUUUAUUAUUUAUAUAUACAUGUGACUGGUUGAGGAAUGGAAUUCACAGCAUAAAUGUUCACUAAGAAGUAUGGAAUGCACAGUGUUAAUUUCAGCAGUACAGAAUACCUAAUGAGAGGUAUGGCAUUUGUUGCUCAAUUAUUCGUUUGUUUACACAAAGAAACAAGCUCAACAUCAACUUAUCAGCUAUGGAAGGUAUGAUCUAUCUUUUCUGCAAUAAUUUCUCAUAGUAGCAUUUUACAUACCUGCAGUACUUAAACAUAUUCUCUGACAAACUCCUUGAGCUUUACAUGUUUACUUCAGUCAAGAAUAAGGUGUUGAAUAAAAAUAUGUAGAUUGUUCUAUAAAGCUACUACUAAUCAGAAUAUUCUAUGAACAUUUAUAUAUACAGAUAAAAAAUACAGAACACCUAGACAAAAACCAGAGUAUCUAUAUUUGGAUCAGUUAAAUGCAACAAGCAAAGCUUACAUAGUGAGGAUAGUAGUUGCUGUAAAGGGAAGAGACAUACUAUCUUCCAAAAAAACUGUCAGAUUUCAGACUUUGCUCCUAAAAGAUGAAAAGGGUAAUAGGAUGCGAGGUACUUUAUUUGGAGAUCAAAUUGAAACUUUUGAAGAAGCAUUGCAAUAUUUGGUUGAGUAUGACAUUUCUGCUGCAUCAAUCAAAUUUAUAGAUGAAAAAUGGAGGACUAACCUUGAUCAGUUCCCUUAACAAAUGACUUUUGGUAGUAGAACUGUGAUCCAGCCAGUUCAUCCAGAGCUUGGACUAGUUCUACCUAAUUAUCAACCUAUUGCAACUAUACCUCGUGCAGUGGAUCCUGACGAGAGAUACGGUAUAAUGAAAUUCCCUUAUGUAUUCUAAAUAAUAGAAAUACUAAACAACUUUUCUUUAUCAACAGAUGUUGUAGGUGUGGUGCUCUAUGUUGAGGAAGAACCUAGAAGAGUUGAAGGCAAAGAUGGAGGGCGAGAAAGCUUGGUGCGAGAAAUUGUUAUCCUGAUCAAAGCUGUGAUCAUCCACUCACCAUCUCUCUCUGGAAUGACCUUACGGCUCCAAAGUACUUUGACAGAUUAGGAAAUUGGGCAGAAACAUUCCAAGUUAUAGGAUUCAGGGCUAUUAAGCCUUAUACUCGCCGUGGUAAAGCAUAUAUUGCUGAAAUUGAAUUGCUUAAAUGAUUCUUUACUAUUAGUAUAUAACCACUUAAUGUUUUGAUUAGGAUUUUCAAAGAAUUCUGGUAUGUCCACCCGAAUAAUAUAUGAACCUAAAGAAGAUCGCGCUCGUGCGCUAUGUGACUGGUAAUUUCCUCUAACCAAAUGUAAUAGCAAAAAUAACACUAAAUUAGAAAUUACACUAGUAGAAAAAUACAAAUAGGCAACCCCCUAAUGGCACCGGUUCAGGUCAAACUGGUGGCAAAAACCGGCCUAAAAAUGGGCGGGUUUUUAAACAAAGAGAAAUGGCACCGGUUCAGCUCAAACCGGUGGCAAAAAUAAAAAAGGCACCGGUUUGAACCGGUGCCUUUACGAACCGGUUCGUUUAAUAAUUAAAAAAAAACCGCCCAUAUAACUACCCCCCAACCCUAAUUUUUUCAGCCGUUUCUCUCUCCUCCUCCUCCUCCUCUUUCUCUCUCCUCCUCUUUCCUUCUUGCUCGCCGAUCUCCUUCAUUUCUUUAUCUUUCUGGAUCUCCUCCUCCUUUCUAUCACUUGAAGACUACCAACAAUUCGAAGACAACAACAUGCAACACCGAUUUUUAUU